CAGUCGCCGCGGUAAUACGUAGGGUGCGAGCGUUAAUCGGAAUUACUGGGCGUAAAGCGUGCGUAGGCGGUUUGUUAAGUCUGCUGUGAAAUCCCCGGGCUCAACCUGGGAAUGGCAGUGGAUACUGGCAAGCUAGAGUGUGUCAGAGGAUGGUGGAAUUCCCGGUGUAGCGGUGAAAUGCGUAGAGAUCGGGAGGAACAUCAGUGGCGAAGGCGGCCAUCUGGGACAACACUGACGCUGAGGCACGAAAGCGUGGGGAGCAAACAGGAUUAGAUACCCCCGUAGUCCCUGUCUCUUAUAC
rnacentral:rRNA from 1 species